GAGGAGGAAGCGGCGCUCAUGGGGAUGCAAGGAUGUAGAGGAGCAAAGGGGGAGAAGAGGCCGCGUGAGGAGAGGUGGUGUGAGACCCGCGGAGGUGCCGGCCAAGGAAGGGCGCAUGGAGAAGCGGGCGGCGCGACCCGCCGGGUGCUGGCCAUUCAGGCCCGAAAGCGGAGGCCGAAAAGAGAGAAACAUCCGAAAAAGCCGGAGCCUCAGCAGAAAGCUCCCUUGGUUCCUCCACCCCCGCCCCCUCCACCACCGCCGCCUCUGGCAGACCCUGCGCCCCCGGAGCCAGAGGAGGAGAUCCUGGGGUCAGACGAUGAGGAGCAGGAGGACCCCGCAGACUACUGCAAAGGUGGCUAUCAUCCAGUGAAAAUUGGAGACCUCUUCAAUGGCCGGUAUCAUGUUAUUAGGAAGCUAGGAUGGGGACACUUCUCUACUGUCUGGCUGUGCUGGGAUAUGCAGGGAAAAAGAUUUGUUGCAAUGAAAGUUGUAAAAAGUGCCCAGCAUUAUACAGAGACAGCCUUGGAUGAAAUAAAAUUGCUCAAAUGUGUUCGAGAAAGUGAUCCCACUGACCCAAAUAAAGACAUGGUGGUACAGCUAAUCGAUGACUUCAAAAUUUCAGGCAUGAAUGGAAUACAUGUCUGCAUGGUCUUUGAAGUGCUUGGCCACCAUCUCCUCAAGUGGAUCAUAAAAUCCAACUACCAAGGCCUCCCAGUACGUUGUGUGAAGAGCAUUAUUCGACAGGUCCUUCAGGGGUUAGAUUAUCUACACAGUAAGUGCAAGAUCAUUCAUACUGACAUAAAGCCGGAAAACAUCUUGAUGUGCGUGGACGAUGCAUAUGUGAGAAGGAUGGCAGCCGAGGCCACCGAGUGGCAGAAAGCGGGCGCUCCUCCUCCUUCGGGGUCUGCAGUGAGUACUGCUCCACAGCAAAAACCUAUAGGAAAAAUAUCUAAAAACAAAAAGAAAAAACUGAAAAAGAAGCAGAAAAGGCAGGCUGAGUUAUUGGAAAAGCGCCUGCAGGAAAUAGAAGAAUUGGAGCGAGAAGCUGAAAGGAAAAUAAUAGAAGAAAACGUCACAUCAGCUGUACCUUCCAAUGAACAAGAUGAUGAAUACCACCCAGAGGUGAAACUAAAAACAGCAGGAUUAGAGGAGGCAGCCGAGGGUGAGACUGCGAAUAACAAUGGCGAAGCUGAGGACCAGGAGGAGAAAGAAGACACUGAGAAAGAAAACACCGAGAAAGACGAAGACGAUGUUGAGCAGGAACUCGCGAAUGUAGACCCUACUUGGAUGGAAUCACCCAAAACCAAUGGCCAUAUUGAGAAUGGCCCAUUCUUACUGGAACAGCAGCUGGACGAUGAAGACGAUGAUGAGGAAGAUUGCCCAAAUCCCGAGGAAUAUAACCUCGAUGAGCCAAAUGCAGAAAGCGAUUACACAUAUAGCAGCUCCUACGAACAAUUCAAUGGUGAAUUGCCAAAUGGACGACAUAAAAUUCCUGAGUCCCAGUUUCCAGAGUUUUCCACAUCAUUGUUCUCUGGGCCCUUAGAACCUGUGGCUUGUGGCUCUGCACUUUCUGAGGGAUCCCCGCUUACCGAGCAUGAGGAAAGCAGUCCAUCCCAUGACAGAAGCAGGACGGUUUCAGCCUCCAGCACUGGGGAUUUGCCAAAAACAAAAACCCGGGCAGCCGACCUGUUGGUGAAUCCCCUGGACCCACGGAAUGCAGAUAAAAUUAGAGUUAAAAUUGCCGACCUGGGAAACGCUUGUUGGGUGCAUAAACACUUCACAGAAGACAUCCAGACGCGUCAGUAUAGAUCCAUAGAGGUUUUAAUAGGAGCAGGUUACAGUACCCCUGCUGACAUUUGGAGUACGGCGUGUAUGGCAUUUGAGCUGGCAACGGGAGAUUAUUUGUUUGAACCGCAUUCUGGGGAAGACUAUUCCAGAGACGAAGACCACAUAGCCCACAUCAUAGAGCUGCUAGGCAGUAUCCCAAGGCACUUUGCUCUGUCUGGAAAAUAUUCUCGGGAAUUCUUCAAUCGCAGAGAUCACAUAGCAUUGAUCAUUGAACUGCUGGGGAAAGUCCCUCGAAAAUACGCUAUGUUGGGGAAAUAUUCCAAGGAGUUUUUCACCAGAAAAGGAGAGCUGCGGCACAUCACCAAGCUGAAGCCCUGGAGCCUCUUUGAUGUACUUGUGGAAAAGUAUGGUUGGCCCCAUGAAGAUGCUGCACAGUUUACAGAUUUCCUGAUCCCAAUGUUAGAAAUGGUUCCAGAAAAACGAGCCUCAGCGGGCGAAUGCCUUCGGCACCCGUGGUUGAAUUCUUAGCAGAUUCUGCCCACGCGCAUUCUGAGCUGGCACAUGCUGCCCAGUGCAUUGGCCCUAAAGGGGGACUCUCGUUCUUAACAGGAUUACAAGUGAGCUGGCUUCAUCCUCAGACCUUUUAUUUUGCUUUGAGGUACUGUCGUUUGACAUUUUGCUUUUUUGUGCACUGUGAUCCUGGGGAAGGGCAGUCUUUUGUCUUCAGCUUAGUAGUUACUGACCCACUUUACUUCUGGAAACAAUAACAUGUCUCUAAGCAUUGUUUCUUGUGUUGUGUGACAUUCAAAUGUCAAUUUUUUUUGAACGAAGAAUACUUUCCUCCUUGUGUUUUGGCAGGUUUUGUAACUAUUUAUGAAGAAGUAUUUUAGCUGAGUACUAUAUAAUUUACAAUCUUAAGAAAUUAUCAAGUUGGAACCAAGAAAUAGCAAGGAAAUGUACAAUUUGAUCUUCUGGCAAAGGGACAUCAUUCCUGUAUUAUAGUUCCAUGUGAAGUCAUCAUGGAAAAUGACAAGCAGUGGAUCACAUAUGUGAUGAUAGCAGAUUCAGAAGCUGGCUGUCUGGAAAUUAGAACUGCCCCAAGGCAGAGGAAAAGUGGAUAUAAUAGGAGCUUCAAAAAAGCAUUAGCUUUCUAGGUGAAAACUGAUUUACUAACUUGCUUCUUCCUGUACUUGGAUUGUCCGUAGCUAGUUAACAGCUGGGGUAGAGAACUUCAGUUUGUAUCUGCCGGUGAAAUUACUUCUUAAAUUCCAGUUUUCUCCCAUUAAUUUUUUUUAAGAAAUUAAUGCAGUUUACAGAAAAGCUUCCGUAUACAUUAUUUGUAUAGUAGGCAAAUCUAAAACUAUGAGGAAUUAAAAUCUUUAGGACAGUCCUUUUAAAGAGGUGUGAAUAUUCAUAGUUCACUAUGCUAGUUAACUUUGUCUUCUGUUUGAAACUAUCGGUGGGGGGGGUGGGGGGGAGUGGAUGACUGGAUGAUGUAAAGCCACUUCUUCGUGGACAGGUAUUUCUUUAGCAAAUACCAUAAGUAGAAUCUUGUUUGAUAAUCAAGGAUGGCAAAGUUGACCUAAGUUCUAAAACUUGAUUAGGAUUGAGCCCUAAACACAGCUGUGUUAAUGUAGCUGUUUUCAAAAGGAAAUGGAAAUUAAAAGUGUAAAAACAUGACAUACUACUGCCAAUCUUAGUCAUUUUUAGUCUGUUUACUUUUUUCUCCAAUACACAGAAUUUGUAUACUGUGUCAAAUUAUGUCAAGUAAUUGGAUGGUGAACUAUGUUGACAAAUACUGUCACUGCUAUUGGUUUAUACUUAAUCCUCCUGAGAGGUAGAAGACAAUAAGAAUUUAUUAUUCCAAAAUAAUAACUAGUAUUUUGUAUUUCAGCAAUAAAAUGUUCACUUGAGAGGGCACUUUCAUUUCACUUGAGAGAGCUAAGAAUGCCUUUUUCCUGUAGUUUUGUACACCCAAAACAAAUUUGUAAAAUUUCCUGCUACUCUUUAAAAUACUAUAGCUAGACAGUAAAUGUUAAGGUUUUCAACUAAUUUUGGUUCAUCAGUAGGACAUCUCAGUCAUGUUCUAACAUGUACAAAUUAGAUAUUCCUGUGUUUUUAGGUAAAAUAUUCCGUACUUUCAAACAGCUGUAAAUUAGUCUGUAGUUGAAUCACGGGACGCUUCAAUGGAAUGGACUCAUCUUGUACGAUGUCAGAUAUAAGCAAACGUGUGCAGCAUUUGCGUAGCACGGUAGUUUCUCAUGGCUCCUGCUCCUGCAAAACAAUAACACGUAGGAACCUCCCAGGAACAAGCCUUUACCGCCUCCUGAUCUUGCUGCAGUCCCGUCCAGCUGAGGUAGUAGUUGCGAAAGAAAAUGGAAGGCUCCUUACAAACUCUAUCUGGAAAAGGUAACUUCUGUAAAAACACUUGCAUAAACAGACCCCAAUCUCAGAAGUGGUACAGGACAAUUUGGUAAAACUGACAUAAUUGUGGUUUAUUAACAUGAAUUAAAAUGCCCAACCAGUGCUUCAAUGUGACAGUAUAUUUAAAAUAGAGGAAUUAAAGGCCAUAUACUGUACUACUUUCACAAAGAUCACACAGUUUUGCAAAGACAUGUCAUAUGUACAGUGCUAUAUGUCAAAUGAGAAAAGCUGUAAGCGAUUAUAUACGCAAAAGAAAUGCAGUAUUUACAGUUUUUCAGGAGACAUUAAAAAUCAUCUGUACAUUAUAUUACAUUUUGCUUGCAAAUAACCGAUAAAACAAAAUGAGCCAUCUUCACACCAAACUAAAAAUCUGUAUUGCAUUUUUUUUAUACAUAAGAUGCACUCACAGAACUGCUGAUUGAUAGAAAGAAAAUCCUCGUACUGCCAUUACUUAGCCGUGUAUUUAAUGCAUAUGUAUAACAUAAUAAUAUAGAAAACAUUCACUAAAUGAAUUUAAUUCCAACAAUAAAAUUUAAAGAUCAUGUAGCAUCAAAUCUACUGCCAGAAAAACAGCUGGAAUGUUCACUUACAAAAUAAAAGAUACCUACACUGGCUUAACAGCACAUUUUUUAAGGGAUUUUUUUAAAAAGCAAAAAUGGGAAAAAUACAAUGAGAGAGCACUGGUGUUUUUUUGUUUUGUUUUUUUAUACAAAGUUUCAUGUACAAGCUUUAAAAAGUACCUUAACAGGUACAUAUGAAAUGUACAGUUUAUCUUACAGAACAUUUUAAAAAGUUUUUGGAGUCUAUUUUAAUGCCACCCUGAACCAUGGUAAUUGUUCUGAAAUGUUGGUGGCACCUGUGCUCUGUGAAUUGGAAUCUGUCCAGGCACUGGAGAUGCCUGCUGAGGUCCUUGAACCCCAUGUGGCAGGGCCACAGAGCCAGGAUGAGGACAGAACCCUGAAGCGGUAGGUGUGGGAAUACUGUUUGGUCCUUGGGGCUGGAGAUGAGGACCUGCGACUGGUAAAGGACAAUGUGGCCCUGUUCCAGAAGGCUGGUGUUGGGGUCCCGGUCCCAGAGUGGUGUGAUGUGUAGUAGCUUGUGAGGGGUACGGUGGUACAGCUGGAUGAGCACUUGAAGGAAAAAGUGGAGGUCCUUGAUGAGGUGGGUGGUGUAAGGCUGGAGCCGAUGGGGUAUGAUGUCCGGAAGCCAGAACACCGG